ACCUCAGCUCAAGCAAGAAAACCCGCUGAACUUAAGCAUAUCAAUAAGCGGAGGAAAAGAAACUAACAAGGAUUCCCCUAGUAACGGCGAGUGAAGAGGGAAAAGCUCAAAUUUUAAAUCUACCUGGUUCCCAGGUCGAAUUGUAUUUUGAAGAAUCGAUAUCGGUGUUGAGGUCUGGUUCAAGUUCUUUGGAACAAGACAUCAUGGAGGGUGAGAAUCCCGUGCAUGAUCAGACCAAGAUACUUUAUAUUCGUUUUCUAAGAGUCGAGUUGUUUGGGAAUGCAGCUCAAAUUGGGUGGUAGACUUCACCUAAGGCUAAAUAUCAGCGAGAGACCGAUAGCGAACAAGUACUGUGAAGGAAAGAUGAAAAGCACUUUGAAAAGAGAGUUAAAUAGUACGUGAAAUUGUUGAAAGGGAAACGAUUGAAGUCAGUCAUGCUAGUGAAAAUUCAGUUUGACGGGUUUUGGGUUUAGGAGUAAGAGAUAGGGUCAAACCAUCUCUCUUUUAAACUUGGGAUUUGUCGGAUGCACUUUUUCUUUGGCAGGUCAGCGUCGAUUUCGGGGGUUGUAAAAUACUUGGGGGAAAGUAGCUCUGCUUCGGGAGAGUGUUAUAGACCUUGGGAGAUGCAGCCCGUGGGAUCGAGGAUUGCAGCAAAUGCCUUUGGCUUGUCGCCUGAUCUCUGGUUGUUACCUCAUUUAUGACAACAUUCUUGUCAUCGAUGAGUGCUAAUGGCUAUUAGGUUAGAACGAUCAAAAAUUUGCUAAGGAUGCUGGCGUAAUGGCUUUAAACGACCCGUCUUGAAACACGGACCAAGGAGUCUAACAUAUGUGCGAGUGUUUGGGUGACAAACCCGGAACGCGUAAUGAAAGUGAAUACGGGUGGGAUCCUCCUCGUGGGGAGCACCAUCAACCGAUCAGGAUAUUUUUUGAUAGAUUUGAGUAAGAGCACAUCUGUUGGGACCCGAAAGAUGGUGAACUAUGCCUGAAUAGGGUGAAGCCAGAGGAAACUCUGGU
rnacentral:rRNA from 1 species